AACAAGUACAAGGUCAUGGCCCACAGGUGCUUGGUGGCUAUACUUUGGUGAAGGUUGCAGGCCUCUGUACUGCAUCUUUGCCAUCUCUUUACAAUGUCCACACACAGAGAACCAGUUGUUGGACAUUUGCCAGUAUACCCCUGGUAAAGACAAGUUUUUGGUAGACUUAUUUUGUCCUCUACCACUUUUUGCUCAUUUGUAAGGUGAUGCAGUUCACAGUCUUCCAUUCUCCACCUUCGUUUUGUGAAUGAAUUUAUCAUCUAAGCUAGUGGUUCCCUUAGCUGCCAUGUCUUUGGACCUAACAGGGAGGUCAAGUGUUUACUGACUAGGCUGGUUUCUUAGCUAUUUUAGUUUCUAGA